rnacentral:misc_RNA from 1 species
UUUCCGUAGGUGAACCUGCGGAAGGAUCAUUAACGAAUAACUAUGGUGUCUUGGUUGUAGCUGGCUCCUCGGAGCAAUGUGCACGCCCGCCAUUUUUAUCUUUCCACCUGUGCACCGACUGUAGGUCUGGAUGACUCUCGCACUCCGGUGCGGACGCGAGGAUUGCUCUCGGGCUCUCCUCGAAUUUCCAGGCUCUACGUCUUUUUACACACCCCAAACGUAUGAUACAGAAUGUAGUCAAUGGGCUUGAUCGCCUAUAAAACACCAUACAACUUUCAGCAACGGAUCUCUUGGCUCUC